CACAAUCUAAGCAACUGUAUUAUAUCUGGGAUUGGAAUGGCUAGACUUGGAGACUUAAAAAUAUCACAUCAUUGUAAUCCCGACAGCUGCAUUUAAUUGCAGAUGAUGUGCCUACAUUUUAAAUAGAAAAUGAAGACAAGCAGUUACAUCACAUUUUUUGCCAGGUUCCCGCUGCACACCCCUUUUCAAGCGUGGCCUCCCUAAUGCCAACACCCAGAUUUCUGUGCCAGCCUCUGAAAAACAGGUGGAUGCCAAGAAAGGAAGGCUUUGGUAUGGAAAGGUUGCCCGACCUGUAAACCAAGCUUUGGCAUGCUAGUCUGGGUGCCGGUAGGGUUCGAGGCUGCUGGGCUGCAGGAUGGGAGUGUCUGUCACUCUUCAGGUGGCAUUUGCAACUCCAACAGGGAUUCCUUACCACUCCUGGGAAAAAGUGGCAGGCAGAACUGAAGUGAAUCAUUGAAGGGGAGUGGCCGCUGGGCUGCCUCUUAGGUUGUUCUGAUACUUUGUAACUUUCUAUUCACAUAAAUAAUAAAGGCUUUAAAUUAAGUGGGGUUUGAAGAGAGCAAUGAAUAUAAAAUGGAGGUGACACGUCAUGAAGUUCUUUAGAAGUAUGAUUUUAUUAAAAGGCAUGCCCAGCAUGGAGGUAAAAUACAUCACAAAGAGUUUCAAAGCAUCUUAAACCAUGGAGUGUGAACUGACUGUGUAGCGUCUAUACAUUUACAUUUGUUUCAGUAAUAAAAACAAGUGUUUAUUA